UUCACUGACACAUCGUACCCGGAGGCAACUUGUCAACAUAUUGGCUAGCCAUAUGACUGAGAACCAUGGGAGGAUUCCUUCCCGCAAGCAUAAGGAGAAGUAUGCCCUGGGAAUCGUGACACUUUUUCCUUCACUCAAAGAUCCUUUUUCUCCAAAGGGCUAUGAGCACUUUUAUGAUGGGGAAAAAGGCACAGGAUAUUUAGCAUGGCGCCUCAAGACCAUGUCAAGGAAAAGAUGUCAAAGGCCAGCGAAGGUAACGACG